CGGUGAAAGCUGAUCCUUCACCACAACCACGGCAACGGGAGAGGCUUAUCUCUCACCACGACAGACUUGAGGGGUUCUCUGCCAACUGAUCUCUCACCACAACGUGUAGACGGAUCUCUACGUGGAGACUGAUCUCUCACCGCAACGUGUAGACGGAUCUCUACGUGGAGACUGAUCUCUCACCACGACACGAGCUUCCUGCCUUCCGAUCCUCCUCUACGGACCGUUUGCUGACGGACUUCCCUGGGCCUGCUACCUGAGACCUGCUGCUUCCUCCCCGACCUGCACCCUCUCGUUGCCCAAGACCGGCCUCGCUGCUCCUGCCCUUCGGCCUCGGACCGUCGGAACGUCGUGCAACGGGACUGCUGCCGGAUCCUGGUGAAUCAUAGAAUGGCCUGGAUUGAAAAGGACCAUAAUGAUCAUCGAGUUUCAUCCGGUCUUCUUCUCCGCUGCCUCAUCUUCUGGCACAGGGGGAAAACCUGCUUCUGCACCUUUAAGACUUGCUUCUUGAGUGUCCAGCCUUUCUGUAUCCCUUUGCCCUUCAGGACUGAACCUCAAGAGACCCUCCCUACCAGUGUCGUGAGUAGUUCAAAGUCUGCCCUUCGGAAGUCCAAUGUAGCAGUUCUGCUGGCCCUGCUCCUAACUUCACCAAGCAUAGAGAACUCUACCAUUUUGUGGCCGCCCUUCCCAAGACUGCUCCUGGCCUCUACAACUUUCACCAGUCCUUCUCUGUACGCAAACAAUCUUUUCGACAGCCUUGUUUCUUUGCUUUGCUGUUUUGAGUGCUUUAUUUUUGAGUGAUUUAUGUAUAUUCUGCUACUUUUCUGUAUGUUGUUGAUUUCUUAUUUAUCUUUCAUAUUGGUUGCUGUAUAUUCAUACAGGUUUGGGAUAUGGGAUCACAGAUAUAGUCUAAUGGUAAUACUGAGUAUGAAUUCUUGGUUGUACUAAUUGCUUUUUCAAAAAAGAAGUCUUUUUCCACAAACUUGCAGGUCUUAGCUAGAUCUCAUGAUAAGAGUUGUCACACAUUUUGCUAUUUAUUAACUUGUUUUCUGGAGAUAAUUACUGUUCUCAAAAUUCACAGAUACAGAAACGGAGGUGCAGUAUUUUUAAAAACUAUUUUAAUGCAGCUGUAGUCCCUUCAAUUUAGACUGUCCAUGAGAAGUUUUAGCAGCCAUAUCCUUGUUGCAUUUUUCAACCCAAUUGCAGUAAUUCCAAGAUGGUUCUGUGAAGUUUGAGUAGGUCACACAACAUGGUAUGUCCUGGGAGGAGUCUCUGUACAUUACAUGUUCUGCUUCUACUUACUGGCCCUUUGAUGUCAAUACUGAUCUGAGUCCUGCAUACACUUUUUCUAGCUCUCUUUUUUGGUUUGGCUGUCCUAAGGUACAAUGUGUCUGUUUCUUUUAGUAUUUUCAUCAUUGUCAUUAUUAUAUCUACAAUUUAUGGACUUUUCAAGAGCCAUGCUGAGAUCUUUAAAAGCUCUUUUUUUAAUAGAAAAGAGUGGAAAGUAGAAAUCAUUGCUCUUUUCCUUCCAUUUUAUGGUACAAUAAAUUUUUCAUAUUUAGUCAUUUACUUUUCGCAUUUAAUGGUUGUUGUCUCAGAUGCUUAAAGCUAUGGCAUGUGAUACUUUGGUAGGGAUCUUGUGUAGACUUACUGCUUGUUUGAGGUUAUUGAACUUAAAUAGUGAAAAACUGAUAAUGUACUCUUGAGAAUGUGCUUCCCACUACCAAAUAAUAAUCCAGUUUAUUCAGAUCCUAUCCCAUAUUGAGCUAAGGACUGCAGCGAUAAAAAAUAUACCAUCCUUCAUCCAGCAGAUACAAUCUGAAUUAACAAGACAAAAAGAAAAGUCCAGGGCUACAGUAGAUGAGUAUAGCAAAACACGGCUUGCAUCUGCUUCACUGUUUUGGUGAUAGCAGUAUCUUCUUUUCUCCCAGCAGUGUUUAAGAUUUUAAUCUCAGAUUCUUCACAUCAAUUCAGUACUUUGUGAUGCGUAUCUUUGCUACCAGUGUCAUGUUGUAUGUCAGAGGGGAGGAUACAGCAUAUUUAGGACAGAAAUAGAUGGGUAUAUUCAUGUGGUUUUCUGUGCAUCUAAGCAAAUAAUGUGGACCCUCACAUCUCUUCAUCAAGCAAAGCCAGUAUGAAGACAUUUUGUUUAAUCUUUUACUCAAUGUGACCUGAAAAUAGUAUGAAAUCAUGUUUUGUAAGAUAUUUGUCUACAAAAAGGUUGGAAUUAAUGUUUUAUUGUCAGGGUUUCUGUUAAGUUGCUAAUUAUUUCUUGAAGUACCUUUAAAAUGCACAUUCAUACCUGCAACAUGAAUACUGCUGUACAACAAUUAUUUCCUGAUGUUGACUUGUUGGAUUCUAAGUUUCCCUUGCAAAAAAGUUGUGUUUUCGGUUGUAGCUUUUUAGAAAUGCUAUCAACAAUUGCAUUUUCUUUAGCUCUUAGUUAAUGUUGUUGCUGUAAUCAGAUACUGCUAGCAGGGGUAAAAAAAUUCUCUAUGUUAAGUUGUUACCUAACUCUUUUAAUAAAUUGUU
ensembl:lncRNA